GCAUGUUUUUGGAAUGUGGGAGGAAACCGGAGCACCCGGAGAAAACCCACGCAGGCCCGGGGAGAACAUGCAAACUCCACACAGGGAGGUCGGAGCUGGAAUUGAACCCGGUACCUCUGCACUGUGAAGCCGACGUGCUAACCACUGGACUACCGGGCCGCCCACAACAAAAAUAAAUACAUAAAAAUAA